GACGAACGCUGGCGGCGUGCCUAAUACAUGCAAGUAGAACGCUGAAGGAGGAGCUUGCUUCUCCGGAUGAGUUGCGAACGGGUGAGUAACGCGUAGGUAACCUGCCUGGUAGCGGGGGAUAACUAUUGGAAACGAUAGCUAAUACCGCAUAAGAGUAGAUGUCGCAUGACAUUUGCCUAAAAGGUGCAACUGCACCACUACCAGAUGGACCUGCGUUGUAUUAGCUAGUUGGUGAGGUAACGGCUCACCAAGGCAACGAUACAUAGCCGACCUGAGAGGGUGAUCGGCCACACUGGGACUGAGACACGGCCCAGACUCCUACGGGAGGCAGCAGUAGGGAAUCUUCGGCAAUGGACGGAAGUCUGACCGAGCAACGCCGCGUGAGUGAAGAAGGUUUUCGGAUCGUAAAGCUCUGUUGUAAGAGAAGAACGAGUGUGAGAGUGGAAAGUUCACACUGUGACGGUAUCUUACCAGAAAGGGACGGCUAACUACGUG
rnacentral:rRNA from 1 species